ACAGGGAUUGCCUCAGUAACGGCGAGUGAAGCGGCAAGAGCUCAAAUUUGAAAUCUGAUGCCUUCGGCGUCCGAGUUGUAAUUUGGAGAGGAUGUUUCGGCAACCGCCUCGGCCUAUGUUCCUUGGAACAGGACGUCGUAGAGGGUGAGAAUCCCGUAUACGGCCGGCUGCGUGCGCCAUGUGAAACUCCUUCGACGAGUCGAGUUGUUUGGGAAUGCAGCUCUAAAUGGGUGGUAAAUUUCAUCUAAAGCUAAAUACCGGCGAGAGACCGAUAGCGCACAAGUAGAGUGAUCGAAAGAUGAAAAGCACUUUGAAAAGAGAGUUAAACAGUACGUGAAAUUGUUGAAAGGGAAGCGCUUGCAACCAGACUUGCCGCGGGUCGAUCAACGUUCCUUCUGGUUCGUGCACUCGAUCCGUGGCAGGCCAGCAUCGGUUUCCGCGGCGGGACAAAGGCUUGGGGAAUGUGGCUCUCUUCGGGGAGUGUUAUAGCCCCUCGCGCAAUGCCGCCUGCUGGGGACCGAGGACCGCGCUUCGGCUAGGAUGCUGGCGUAAUGGUUGUAAGCGGCCCGUCUG
rnacentral:rRNA from 1 species